CUGAGUGUAAAAACUCCCAAACCCAUUGUGAACUUACCACUGUUGCUUCGGCGGAACCGCCCCGGGCGCGCCCUCACAGGCGUGCCCCGGAUCCAGGCGCCCGCCGGGGAACCGAAACUCUUGUUUUCCUGGAGAAUCUCUGAGUGUGAUUAUAAAAUCAAAUCA
rnacentral:misc_RNA from 1 species